ACGGAAAGGCAGGACCCCAGGGCAAUGAGCGGGUGCACAUGCACGCGGGCCACUGCAGAAGAGCACGGGGCCAGGCUGGGCUCCGAGAUGUGUCGGAGGUCCCAGCUACUCGGGAGGAUCACUUGGGCCUGGGAGUUCAAGGCUGCAAUGAGCUGUGAUCACAUCACUGCACUCCAGCUUUGGUGACAGUGUUUUGUUUUGUUUUUUCCUUUUAUUUUUUUUACUUCUGAGAUCCUGUUUAAAAAAAAAAUACGGCGACGAGUAUUUGUUGAGCUGGGAUGUGUGAGCCGGGUGAAGCUGGGUGGCUGACCGGGGGUUCCUGUCGGGGAGGAGAGGUGGACAUCUACACCGUCAAGGUGGAAGACCUGACCUUCACCUCCCCGUUCUGCCUGCAAGUCAAGCGGAAUGACUACGUGCACGCCCUGGUGGCCUACUUCAACAUCGAGUUCACGCGCUGCCACAAGAGGACCGGCUUCUCCACCAGCCCCGAGUCCCCGUACACGCACUGGAAGCAGACGGUGUUCUACAUGGAGGACUACCUGACUGUGAAGACGGGCGAGGAGAUCUUCGGCACCAUCGGCAUGCGGCCCAAUGCCAAGAACAACCGGGACCUGGACUUCACCAUCGACCUGGACUUCAAGGGCCAGCUGUGCGAGCUGUCCUGCUCCACCGACUACCGGAUGCGCUGAGGCCCGGCUCUGCCGCCCUGCACGGGCCCAGGGGCUGAGCGUUCCUAGGUGGUUUCGGGGCUCCCCCUUCCUCUCCCUCCCUCCCGCAGAAGGGGGUUUUAGGGGCCUGGGCUGGGGGGAUGGGGAGGGCACAUCGUGACUGUGUUUUUCAUAACUUAUGUUUUUAUAUGGUUG
rnacentral:sRNA from 1 species